UACAGAGGGUGCAAGCGUUGUUCGGAAUUAUUGGGCGUAAAGCGCGUGUAGGCGGCUUUGCAAGUCGGGUGUGAAAGCCCUCAGCUCAACUGAGGAAGUGCGCCCGAAACUGCAGAGCUUGAGUGCCGGAGAGGGUGGCGGAAUUCCCCAAGUAGAGGUGAAAUUCGUAGAUAUCUGGAGGAACACCGGUGGCGAAGGCGGCAUCCUGGACCAAUAUUGACGCUGAGGAGCGAAAGCUAGGGGAGCAAACGGG
rnacentral:rRNA from 1 species